rnacentral:rRNA from 1 species
AGUGAACGCUGGCGGUAGGCCUAACACAUGCAAGUCGAACGGCAGCACAGUAAGAGCUUGCUCUUCCGGGUGGCGAGUGGCGGACGGGUGAGGAAUACAUCGGAAUCUACUUUUUCGUGGGGGAUAACGUAGGGAAACUUACGCUAAUACCGCAUACGACCUACGGGUGAAAGCAGGGGAUCUUUGGACCUUGCGCGAUUGAAUGAGCCGAUGUCGGAGUAGCUAGUUGGCGGGGUAAAGGCCCACCAAGGCGACGAUCCGUAGCCGGUCUGAGAGGAUGAUCGGCCACAUGAGAACUGAGACACGGUCCAUGCGCCUACGGUAGGCAGCAGUGGGGAAUAUUGGACAAUGGGCGCGAGCCUGAUCCAGCCAUAGCGCGUGGGUGAAGAAGGCCUUCGGGUUGUAAAGCCCUUUUGUUGGGAAAGAAAAGCAGCAGGUUAAUACCCCGCUGUUCUGACGGUACCCAAAGAAUAAGCACCGGCUAACUUCGUG